UCCAUUUUCAUUGGAUAAUUGAAACGAAAUACUAACGCUUGAUUGGCAGACCAAUUAAGGAACAUGCUAUCACUUUGUAUUGCCUCUUACAGGGGAGAGGACGUAUGGUUGUAUACUGAAAGGAUUAAGUGAGCGAAAUGUAUCGCUUUAAAAACAAUUGCGGAAAUUUAAACAGAAAAUACACUUUGCAGACAUACUUUUGACAGGAUGUUACGUAGCAUAAACAAUGUCAAGUAAAGACAAAGACUUCCGGUUGGUCACACUAGUUGUAGACGUCUGUCCCUUACCACUCAGAGAAUUGUUUCUCAAAUAUGCUAAGUCUGAUCCUGGUCCAGGUGUGCCCUACACUAGUCUUGACAACUACAUGCUUUUUCGCAAACAUGAUGUUGAAAAAUUAAUGAAGUUGCCACCAAAAACGAUCAGAAAAGACCAAUUUGACUUGAUAUAUCCAAAGGCCAAAGAAGCAGAAUGGGAUGUAAGUCUACUGUCAGCUCUUUUGCUGGGACUGUUUGGCACAGAGGUCCAUGGCACAGAAGAAAGCUUAAUCAGAAUUAUUCGGGAGAUCCGUAACAAACUCCAACACAAACCUGGAAGUUUGACUACCACUGAUACGGUGUUUGACACAACCUGGAAUGACAUAGAAACAGCGAUAACGACACUUGCCCAGAUUGUAGGUGGCCCAGCUUACGAGACAGAAAUUAAAAAACGUACCGAUGAAACAAGAGUAAACAAUCUUCCCAAACUAGGUGAUACACUGAAGAGCUGGUAUGAAAAUACUCUACACAGUAUUAGCGAGACAUCGCAUAGUUCUUACCGUAUACUUGAGGCAACCACUGAAAAACGCGAAACAAGAAAAGGUCAAACGAGUAAAAGGAUGAAAACAGUGGAUACUAUUCUCAAGAAACUACGAGAGCAGUUCGCCCAGACGUUUUAUCGUGAGCUUCCUGAUGACUACGAUCAACCUAAGGAAGCUUCAACAAUUCGCCAAAAUCUCACGCACGACCACCAUGUAACCAUUUGCGGCUAUGAGAAAAGCAAAUACCUGGCUUGUGCUCUUUCAAUUAUUGCUGAUCAAGACUACGAUAGGUCAAGAUGUGUUGAAAUAACAAAGCCGGGAGAUUGGAGACAUGUUGACCCUGAAGAAGUAGACCUGAUUCUAUAUCACGAUCCGUUUUCUCUGUCUGUGACGGAAAAGAAAAGAGAAUUAUUUGAUGUUUUCCAAGCAUUGAUGGACGUCUCAACUACAUCUGAUGACCAAGCAAGAAUAGAUGUUGUUAUUGUUACGGAAAAGAGCAAGCUUGAAGAAAACGGUGAUUUCAAAUGCCACGAUAUUUUCGAAAACAUGGUUGUUCUUUACGAACCGACAAAUGAAAAAGAACCUGUAGAUCUUGCAAAACACCAGAUACUUUACAAGAGAACACAAAGCGACACCGUCCUCGGCAAUAUGAUAGCUUAUUCCGAUACGUUCAUUCAGCAACGAAGAUCAGAAAGUAUCGAUUCUGGUCUGCUGGAAUCUGCAAAAGAAAAGUUUAAACGUUACAAAGCUGUAGUUAUUACAGGUCCAACUGGUUGUGGGAAAACCGCCUUCGCAGUAAGUCUAGUUUCGUCAAUUUACGAAAGAAACCAGUGUGUGGUACUUGUUGAUGCUAGCGAAUGGAUGCAAGUGAAGCUUGGCGAAAUAAGUGUCAUCAUUAUCGAUGAAUUUGCUGGAAGGUUCAAAUACAAUGCAGGUUUAGCAGAAUCAUGGCUGAACAGAUUUGAUUUAAUCUACGCAGCAGUAUCUGAUGGUAAACUGAAUGUCAUCAUUACUUGUGAAACAGCCCGUUUCACCAAAGUAUUAAAAAACUUUACCGUACAUCCUCUGUUAAGCCAUCGUAUCAAGCUGCCGAAACGAGGUGUAGGAAUUGUUGUAAAAGAAGAACCUAUCUCUGACAAUGAAUUAGAUGUAAAUGAGCAAGAACAAGAAGAAGCAAGAAAUUUAUCGGACGUCAAUAUCAACAAUGACAAUAAAAGACCUGAGAAGCAGGAACAAUGCUUACUGGAAGGAAGACUUGUUGGAACACUAGAAGUAAAAGAAGAAAUCAAAUACUGCUGUGAAGCACAAAAUGGAAAAGUUUUUGUAUUUGGCGGUGGAAAUUAUAUUGCACUACUUGAUACAAGUAAUUAUACCAUAAUAAAAGAAAUAACACUUCCACACUCAGCUCACUGUAUAUCUUGUAUUGACGAACAAAACGUCGUCCUCUUCAUGAAAGGAGAAAAUAAGAUGAUGUACGCUAGUCUUAUUGAUUCAGAUAUCCGACUUCUGAAUUCUAGCGAUAUACCGGUCCAACAUAGAUGGACCCAUUUACUUAGAAAAGGAAAUCAGUAUGUUAUGUGUACUGAUAUUGCUGUUUUCAUUUACGAUCUAAACUGGAAGAGAACAUGUACCGUUUCUCAUUCAAAUAAUAAGCCAUUGUUUGAAAAUACUCAACCAUAUCGAAGGAGAUACACAGAUUCCACAAUCAAACAUAUUGAUGUCGGAGACAGUAUUAUAGUUAUUGGAACUGAAGAGAAUAUUGUAAUCACAGAUACAGAUGGAAAUAUAAUCAAAACAUUUAAACCAGGUGGAACGAAUGUCACACUCUAUGAUGAUAGAUGGAUUUUCGUGAAAAUGGGGUCCAGAAUAACCAUUGUCACUCUCACUGGAAAGGUGGCAGGAAUACUUUUUGAAGGGGAUCUUACUACAGAAACAUACCGUUCGUUCAGUGAAUAUUCUUGCUUUUGUUACGGAAAAAGUUGUAACAAGCUGUUUUACUCGAAAGACAAGAGUAUAAAACUACUUUCCGUGCAGUGAUGAAUCAAAAUUAUAAUAUAAACAUAACCGGAUUAAUUUACUUAGAAAAGGAAAUCAGACUGUCGUAUGUACUGAGGAUGUUGUUUUACAUACGAUCUAAAUUGAAAGAGAAUACUAUAAAAUAGGUACCAUAUAACAUUCAAAUAACAAGUCAUUAUUUGCAAUCCGUGCAUUCGGUAAUAGGAAAUACAAGACGUUUUCAACUUACUUCGACAUGGACUGUGGAAUACGAUAGGGGU
rnacentral:misc_RNA from 1 species